rnacentral:RNase_P_RNA from 1 species
UGAGUCGAUCGGGUGACCGCGGCACGAUUCCGCGGAAGCGUGUCGAGGAAGGUCGGGACUCCACAGGGCAGGGUGCUGGCGAGAGCCAGGUCGGAGCGAUCUGACGGUUCAGGGCAACAGAGAACAGACCGCCGAUGGCCGGGAACCCCUCGGGGCGACCGGCACAGGUCAGGGUGAAACGGUGCGGUAAGAGCGCACCAGCGUCGGGAGCGAUCCCGGCGGCUCGGCAACCCCCACCCGGAGCAAGGCCGAGCAGUGGGACGGGCGGCUCGUCCGUCGGACCGCUCUUCGGAGCGGGACGGCACCCACGGGUAGGCCGCACAGAUGGAUGGUCACCGAACGGGACCCCCGCAAGGGACCCGGGAACAGAAUCCCGCCUACAGAUCGGCUCACCGA